rnacentral:rRNA from 1 species
UACGUAGGGUGCGAGCGUUGUCCGGAAUUAUUGGGCGUAAAGAGCUCGUAGGCGGUGUGUCGCGUCGGCCGUGAAAACCUGGGGCUUAACUCUGGGCGUGCGGUCGAUACGGGCAUCACUGGAGUUCGGCAGGGGAGACUGGAAUUCCUGGUGUAGCGGUGAAAUGCGCAGAUAUCAGGAGGAACACCGGUGGCGAAGGCGGGCCUCUGGGCCGAUACUGACGCUGAGGAGCGAAAGCAUGGGUAGCGAACAGG